rnacentral:rRNA from 1 species
UACAGAGGGUGCGAGCGUUAAUCGGAAUUACUGGGCGUAAAGGGCGCGUAGGCGGCCUUCUAAGUCGAACGUGAAAUCCCCGGGCUCAACCCGGGAACUGCGUCCGAGACUGGAAGGCUUGAAUCCGGGAGAGGGAUGUGGAAUUCCAGGUGUAGCGGUGAAAUGCGUAGAUAUCAGGAGGAACACCGGUGGCGAAGGCGGGUCUCUGGGCAGUAACUGACGCUGAGGAGCGAAAGCGUGGGGAGCGAACAGG